UUACCCACUCCCGGCACGGGGAGGUAGUGACGAAAAAUAACGAUACGGGACUCAUCCGAGGCCCCGUAAUCGGAAUGAGUACACUUUAAAUCCUUUCACGAUUAACAAUUGGAGGGCAAGCCUGGUGCCAGCAGCCGCGGUAACUCCAGCUCCAAUAGCGUAUAUUAAAGUUGUUGCGGUUAAAAAGCUCGUAGUUGAAUCUGUGUCCCACACUGUCGGUUCACCGCUCGCGGUGUCCAACUGGCAUGUCUGUGGGACGUCCUGCCGGUGGGCGCAGCCCCUCAAAAGGCGGCCCAACUCAAAAUCCUACCACGGUGCUCUUCACCGAGUGUCGAGGUGGGCCGGUACGUUUACUUUGAACAAAUUAGAGUGCUUAAAGCAGGCUCAUUCGCCUGAAUAUUCUGUGCAUGGAAUAAUGGAAUAGGACCUCGGUUCUAUUUUGUUGGUUUUCGGAACUCCGAGGUAAUGAUUAAUAGGGACAACUGGGGGCAUUCGUAUUGCGACGUUAGAGGUGAAAUUCUUGGAUCGUCGCAAGACGGACAGAAGCGAAAGAAAUGUGUUUUCAUCAAUCAAGAACGAAAGUUAGAGGUUCGAAGGCGAUCAGAUACCGCCCUAGUUCUAACCAUAAACGAUGCCAGCUAGCGAUCCGCCGAAGUUCCUCCGAUGACUCGGCGGGCAGCUUCCGGGAAACCAAAGCUUUUGGGUUCCGGGGGAAGUAUGGUUGCAAAGCUGAAACUUAAAGGAAUUGACGGAAGGGCACCACCAGGAGUGGAGCCUGCGGCUUAAUUUGACUCAACACGGGGAACCUCACCAGGCCCAGACACCGGAAGGAUUGACAGAUUGAGAGCUCUUUCUUGAUUCGGUGGGAGGUGGUGCAUGGCCGUUCUUAGUUGGUGGAGCGAUUUGUCUGCUUUAUUGCGAUAACGAACGAGACUCUAGCCUGCUAAAUAGGCGUACUUUCCGGUAUCUCGAAGGCCCGCCGGUCGGUUUCGGCCCGUGUGUGGUUUUUACUACCGGCGUACACAUAUAUCUUCUUAGAGGGACAGGCGGCAUUUAGUCGCACGAGAUUGAGCAAUGACAGGUCUGUGAUGCCCUUAGAUGUUCUGGGCCGCACGCGCGCUACACUGAAGGGAUCAGCAGGUUUUCCUUGGCCGAAAGGUCCGGGUAAUCCGUUGAAGCCCCUUCGUGCUAGGGAUUGGGGCUUGCAAUUCUUCCCCAUGAACGAGGAAUUCCCAGUAAGCGCGAGUCAUAAGCUCGCGUUGAUUACGUCCCUGCCCUUUGUACACACCGCCCGUCGCUACUACCGAUUGAGUGAUUUAUUGAGGUCUUCGGACCGGUGCGCGGCAUUGCCGAUGUUGCUGGGAAGAUGACCAAAAUUGAUUACUGGAA
rnacentral:rRNA from 1 species